AAAAUAUAACUACUCAUGAGGCCCACCUUAGCAGUCAUUAAGCAAGUCAUCUUGAAAUUUCCAGAUCCAGCAUUAUCUUCCAUGUUAAUCAUAAUCACCGUCGUAGUAUCCUUAGGAUUACACCCUAAAAACGAAAAAGAAAAUUCUGCUUUGUCAGAAGUCAACAGAAGAGAAACACAAGGACUUGUACAUAAUUAUCUAAUUGGUGGUCUUCGCAAUGUAUUCACUGUUUAUGAAGAGAGUAACAAGAAUGGCAUUAGCAACAAAACGGAAAUUGGAAAGUGUUUCUCAGAGCUUGGAAAUGAUCCAGAUUGCCGAGUUAUCGUACUGUCUGGCACAGGAAAGGUGUUUAGUGCUGGCAUUGACUUUGCUGAUGCGGCCCAGAUCGGCGCAAGAUUGAGUGAAACCGAAGAUGUAGCAAGACGCUGCAAAAUUUUACAUGACACUAUUAAAUUAUAUCAAGAUUCAAUGACAUCUCUUGAAAAGUGCCCGAAACCAGUAAUAAGUGCAGUUCAUAAUGCAUGUAUUGGAGGUGCACUAGAUUUAAUAACAGCAGCUGAUAUUAGAUAUUGCACUAGUGAUGCUUGGUUCCAGGUGAAGGAGGUUGAUAUAGGAAUGGCAGCAGAUGUGGGAACAUUGCAGAGGUUGCCUCGCAUAAUUGGCAGUGAAAGCCUUGUUCGUGAAUUGGUGUUUACAGCGAGGAAAAUGUUAGCUUCCGAAGCCAAGGAGUGUGGUUUUGUCAGUAAAGUGUAUGAUGACAAAGACAGUAUGCUGAAAGGAGCAAUAGAAAUGGCCGCUGAUAUCGCAGCUAAAAGUCCAGUUGCAGUUCAAGUAACAAAAAGGAAUAUUGUGUAUUCGAGGGAUCACGCUAUUCAGGAGGGUCUUGAUCAUAUACGUUUCUGGAACAUGGCCAUGCUUCAAAGCGAGGACUUCAUGAAUGCCACUGUAGCACAAGCCACCAAGAGUCCUCUGCCAACAUUUUCUAAGCUUUGAAAUGUUUUGUUGUGAAUUUGUUGACCCUGCUUGUGUGGUUGAUUUCUCAUGGUAACUUUAUACUGGCUCCAGCAUUCCUCGCUGGGACAGCACCCUGGAAAAAAAUCAAUAUAGGGAUACAUCUUUAUUUGUAUGAGGUUCUACUGAAGAAAUUUGAACUCCCAGUGCAUUAAAAUUCAUUAAUGAAUUUGCAUCUCCUAAAAUAAUAUUUUAUUCAGUACUGAACAUGUGAAUCAAAACACAGUGAAAAGUUCCUAAUUUAAUACAUUUGUAUAUGUACUGUGCCAUAAUUCAACCUCUAGCCGGUACAUGGAUUUGAAGGGAUAACCCCAAAUCCCAAAAUGCACCAAAAAUAACUAGAUGGAAGCUCAUUUUACAAACAUAGUACUGUGACAUACUCACUGAUUACACAGUGAGUUCUUAAUACAAGAUCAACUUAUUUUAUGCUGUUAUAACUGAUUAUUGCUGGAUUAAUAUCUGAUGCUUAACUAGUCAAGAGUACUGGUAA